GACGAACGCUGGCGGCGUGCUUAACACGUGCGAGUCGAACGGAAAGGCCCUGCUUUUGUGGGGUGCUCGAGUGGCGAACGGGUGAGUAACACGUGAGUAACCUGCCCUUGACUUUGGGAUAACUUCAGGAAACUGGGGCUAAUACCGGAUAGGAGCUCCUGCUGCAUGGUGGGGGUUGGAAAGUUUCGGCGGUUGGGGAUGGACUCGCGGCUUAUCAGCUUGUUGGGGGGGUAGUGGCUUACCAAGGCUUUGACGGGUAGCCCGCCUGGGAGGGUGACCGGCCACAUUGGGACUGAGGUACGGCCCAGUCGCCUACGGGCGGCAGCAGGGGGGAAUAUUGCACAAUGGGCGGGAGCCUGUUGCAGCAACCCCGCGUGCGGGAUGACGGGCUUCGGGUUGUAAACCGCUUUCGCCUGUGACGAAGCGUGAGUGACGGUAAUUGGUAAAGAAGCACCGGCUAACUACGUG
rnacentral:rRNA from 1 species